CACUAAGAAGCUUCAAGGAUAUAGCGACAGCCUUUUAAGCUGUAGACAGGUGACUUCCGACCACCCUUAGUGA
rnacentral:tRNA from 1 species